GCCUUGCACUGAAUAGUGGAGAUGGGGUGGGCAGGUGUGGAGGGGUGAAAGAGGGAGCCUGGUGAGAGUUUAUGGCACUGAUGAGGACCUAACCAGGGCAGUGGCAGUGGAAAGGAGAGGAGAAGGUGGCAUUCAAACUACAAUAUACAGAAAAAUCAAAAGGACAUGAUGCCACCCUAGAAAAUCUAUUGAUGUCACAAGGCUUCAAAGGUUUUGGCUGAGACCUUGCUUCUUUGAGUGGGGGACAAGUGGUCUCAGCAGUUGUGAAACUGAGCCAUCAGCUGUGCCUGGAGAUCAGUGAAGUGAAGGACUGGAGACACUAAAGAUCCAAUCCUCUGGCGUUACAUCAAUGCAGAAAGAGAAGAUGGAAAGUUUUUGAACUACGUGCUGUCAGGAAUGUGGCUGACAACACGGUGACCUGGAUCUGCCUCCAGGGGUGCUGGCAGAACAGGGUUCUCAUGCAGGGUUAGGAGAUGCACGGAAUUCAAGGCCUCCAAGUGACAGUUAGCAGAACCUGAAUGGGCUGCUCAUCGAGGAAAAAGCCCUGAUGGAGUCCAGGAACUCAAGUCCCAGUUCUGGUUCCCUCGUCAUUCAGCUGUGCCAUCAUGGGCACAUCACUUAGCCUCACUGGAGUUCAGUUUCCUCAGUAGUAAAAUGUGGUAAGGAAACACCCUGAGAUGUAGCCUGCAGAGCUGAAGGCGACAGACGAACCUCAGCCCCUCUGCAUUCAUUACGCAACUAUGAGGGGACAAGCACUUUGCCCUCGGUUGUCAUCAGCCCACACUAUUCCUGUCUGGCACAGCCUCCCUUCCCAUUGGCCAAACUCUCACCAUUCCUUUUCAAGCUCCGCCUAAGUGUCUCACCCCUACACCCUUUCCCUUAAUCAGGCUGAAGUUGGAAUGUGUUCACCCAAUUUUAUUAUAGCUAAAUAUAUUCAGCUUAGCCUAAGCUUUAGCAGAUUUUAAUAGUUAUUAAUGGAAUAUUCAUCUAUUUCCCUAUACACACUGUAAUCAACAUUCCCAUUCUCAAAUGCACUACUUAAAGUGUCUGAAGAUCAGACACUUUAAGUAAUUUAAAUUUAUGACAAAGUUUUCUGAAGAUAUAAGCAGAUCCUGUUAGAUACGGAUGCACAUACAAUUCUUAUGAACACUUUCAUGCACUGUAGCAUGAUCAAAAUAUCUGACCAGAGCCUGUCACUGGACCUUGUAGACAUUCUUACAAACAGCUCUUAUCUAAUCCUCAUAACCCAUCACCUGUCACCCAUAAGGGACAAUUAAACCACAGAUCCACAUGAUUACUGAAGGCUUGCUUCUUCAUUGGCUGCAGGAAUCUCAUGAAAAUCAUGUCUUCAUAUAUAGCAAAACUUUGGGCUUAUGCAUCCUUCUAGGAAGAAUAAGCAGUUAAUGGGCAUGAAAGGCCUUUGAACCCUAUGUAGCCCUGCAUGUGUGCAAGCUGCUCUUUUAAGUGGAAAGCAAAAGACAGUGGCAGAAGUCAGGCUGGGCUCCAGACCCAGCCCUACCUUAAUAGUCAGGUGAUCCCUAUCAGGUCAUUUGUAUUCUCUGAACCUCAGGUUUCUUGUCUGCCAAUGGAAAUUAUAAUAAUGCCUGCCCUACUGUGAAGUUCAGAUGAACUCAUGGAUGUGAACACCUUUUGAGGGUCACAGAGCGACACUUGAAUGCCAGCCAUCAUUUGUUCAAGUAUAUUAACUCUUAGUUUCUACAACACUAGGAGAUAGAUAUCAUCCCCUCCUUUCACAGAUAUGGAGACUCCAGUGAGUAGACCCUUGAGGAUAUGACCUUCCAACUCAAAUCUCCCCAUCCAAUGCUCUUCCCCUCUGUGCUCAGGCACCAUGCUCAGCUCCCAUCCCUGCUCACAGCUGCAUCAUGUGCAUACUGUGAGCAUCACAUUGUAUAGUCUUACCUUAAGUCUGGGGUCCAAUCAGUUGUCAAGAGCCACACACUGGAAAGAGGGAGAUCAAGGAAAACCAGCCAAGCUCCUCCCAAUACAAGGAUGUUUGCCAAGUUCCAGGGAGCACCUUCUACCCCCAGCCCUGGGUGAAGUAAGCACUGGAGAGAACAGACAGGAUACAAUGGCAUUGCCCUGAGAAGGCUUUUCAUCUGGCUGAGGCAAGGACUUAGAGACACAGGCUCCGUGAAGUCAGAUAUCAAACAUUUCCAUUGCUACAUUCUCCAGGCCUAAUCUGGAUCCUCCCAGAGUGGCUCUUCAGUGAACAUCUACUGAAUUGAACAGACAUGCACAGAGCAGAUGGACAGCACUAGGGACUUGUCCUCUGGCCCCAGAGGCCCAUGAAAGAGUAUCCAGGCAGGCUGGACUAUGCCGGGAAGGGGGAAAGCCUGGGCCCUCAUCAAAAGGGAAGGACCCCAAAAGGAAAAGAAACCCAUCAACACCCUGUUAACUAAAUGGAGAGAAAUGCAGUUUAGGAAAAAAGAAAAAAAAAAAACAUGAUAAAUACAAUUCCUGAGAGCAGCUGCUAAGUCAGGGAGCACCACACUCAUCCCCUUCUGCAAGAGAAUGAGAAGAUGGAACUACAGCUCCCGUCCCACAUCUGCAUCAGGUGUGGCCUUCCCGCCGUGGGCCACGGGUCGGACCUGGCUCCACAGACAAAGGGGCUGCUUAGACUGGGCUUGAAAUAGGCUGAGUGGAAACCUGCGAGCCCCUGGCUGCCUCCCUGUGCAUGGAAAGGAGCUGUCGGUGAGUAUGGAGAUCUCUGCCCUUGUCAGAGGAAGGCUUCCUCAUCACAAGGCAGGGCAGGUGUCUGUGCCCAAGAGCUGAGCAGAGAACAAGCAGCCAGUGGAGGCUUUCGCCUGAACUGUGCAAUCCUUACCUGAUUGGGAAGUGCAAGUGACAAUAAAUUAAUAGCGAGUCACUUUAUGUAAAUACCUCUCUCUUUUUGUACGCUAUAUUUAGAGAAACAAACUGCUUUGGCAUUUAGAGAUAAAUUUUAUGUAAGAGUU